GGGACUCUAGUAUAAUUAUUACCUGGCGCUGUCAGCGCCGAAACAUGGGAAACCCCCAUGAGACCCU
rnacentral:tRNA from 1 species